rnacentral:lncRNA from 1 species
GCUUGAGACUUGGAAAUCUUGUAAAUUAGUGAGCUAAUGUCAUAAAGCGACAUUAAGCUUGGGUUAUAUGUGAACCUUGUAAUAAUGCCAUAAAGAGGCAUGGGAAUUGGAACAUGCUUAGAUAUAGCAAUAUUAUAGUGUCAUAAAGAGGCACUAGACUUAGUGAAGGUUGGAACUUCACCUUGUGACAUAGAACUAGACCGAUGGGUUACUAGUGAUGGUUACCAUGUUAGAGACAUGAUGAUUGGGUACUUGAGACGAUGACUAUGCUUGCUUGCCAUUUGUGCUUAUUUGCACAUGCUUGUGAGGGUCAUUCCCUACAAGUCGGCACUCCGGAGUUGGCCUAUGCGACUUAUGUUCGCUCGUGCGGUAUCGAGAAACCUACGGGGUCGGGAGGGAUAGACUCAUUCCUAGAGUGGGAAUGUUGGUGCUACCACCGGUACUUAGGUGGCACAAGAUGGACUACACUUGUGUAGGUCCUUAAACAAAAUUGAGCAAUGAUGAUAUUAAACUGGGAUAUGACAAUCACUACUAGGUAGGCUUAGUAGUGGGAUGACUUGGACAUGCUUUUAGCAUACUAUUGGACAUUUGGGUGGAUAGAAUAUUGGAUAGCAUUACUUGUUGCAUCUUAGCACACUUGCUUGUCAUGUUGGCAUAGACUAGUCAUGCUUUUGACAUACAUGUUCAUAAGAAAAUAAAUGUACAACUUAUUGUUAUCAUGUUACUCAUGGCAUAGUAAUUUAGCAUACAAUGCAUGCUUUCAUAUUAGCAGUUUAUCUUGUUACUUAUC